rnacentral:misc_RNA from 1 species
CCAAAAAAAAAAAAAAAAAAGAAUUCCUUAUUGAGAACUAGUGUGCAACUCAUGCUACCCAAGUGAGAACAUCAGUUCAGGAAUUGUUUGGUUAUCAAUUGAGAUUAUUGAAAAUAACUAAGAAAAAGAGAGAAAAAUGAAAAAAAAAAAUUUAAAAUGGAUGUUGCUUGUUGCAUAUGUCAAAUUAAUAUUAGAAUACCAUAAAAUGAUGUUACUCAUAUAUUUUGUCAUUCUUUCCUGCAUUUGCUUAUAUUGCACUAUCCAUGUAGAACUUCAUUUAUAGCUACUAAUGAAACUAAGUAAUUUUCACACUUCAUGCUUAUUUUUUUUAGAAUCGAACCUAAAUGUGUGGUAAUUUGGUGUUGAAGGUGUGGUGAACCAACUGCCAAGAGCAUA